UACGGGGGGGGGCAAGCGUUGUUCGGAAUUACUGGGCGUAAAGGGCUCGUAGGCGGCCAACUAAGUCGGAUGUGAAAUCCCCAGGCUUAACCUGGGAACUGCAUCCGAUACUGGAUGGCUUGAAUCCGGGAGAGGGAUGCGGAAUUCCAGGUGUAGCGGUGAAAUGCGUAGAUAUUCGCAAGAACACCAGUGGCGAAGGCGGCUCACUGGCCCGGUACUGACGCUGAGGUGCGAAAGCGUGGGGAGCAAACAGG
rnacentral:rRNA from 1 species